ACAACGGCGGCAUUUUUUCCGAGUAAACUAAUAUUUAGGUUAUUAAAAGAUACGAAAAUACAGGGGUUAAUAUAUUAUUUUUUUAAACUAGAGAGACUAAAAUAGAGGUUAAUAUAGACUCGGAGUUUUGGCUUCUAUUUCACAAUAAUAAUCCAUAUGGUUUUGCUUAAUAUCUAAGAAGUGAAGGUGGUUGGUGGUUAAAAUAUAUUAUCCGCUGGGCUAAAAGGUCUUC